GAGGUGGUCGAUUUAAGUCGGUAGAUUGUAAAUCUAUGAAUGAGUUAUAUAACUUUCUCA
rnacentral:tRNA from 1 species